ACGGUUACAUCACUUUGAAACAUCGUUUCCCAUGCGAUCUCGAAGUUCAGCAACGUCGACCCUGUUCAGUACAUAGAUGGGUGACCGCUUAGGAAUACCAAGUGCUGUAA